AAAGCAAACACGAUUUAUCUCUUUCUUUCUUCUUCGUGUAGAAUACAUGAAUCUAUGCCGUCCUGAUUUUCUCUAUUUCGGAAUUAUUUAGUCUCCACAGGGAAUUUUCGGAAUUCUAGAUAAUGCUAUUGCUGUUUACCCAGCUUUUUCAGAGCCUGCAAAUUUUCACAUUAACGGUAGGAGCUUUGGCUAUGGGAUUCCAGCUUGAAUAGGGUUUCUGUAUCUCUACUAGGCGUGUCUUCUCUACACAGAAAACUGCAGAGAGAAGAACAAUUGAAUAAUUUCCAGCUUAGGUUAUCUGUUUAUUAAUUGUCUGGACUUACACAAAUUAUAAGCAUGUAAUUGUUGAUUCUUCUUAAUGUUUGGUAAAAUCUACAAAAGCUAAGCUAAUGUGUAGAAGACAGAAAUCUAUGGCGCAAGGAUGCUUUCUAUCUCGGAAUUUACAGUAGACCUACAUCUACUGAGUUGACGUAGCUCUACUGGGCGGGCGACUCUUCUCUACACAGCUUACUCUCAAAACUGGUUGAUGCAAAUAAACGCAUUCUUCCCUCUGUACAAGCUCUUCUUUGGUCUCACUUUGGGUUUGUUAAUAGGGUUUAGCUACUAUCUAUGGCGCCAGUAGAACAAAAAACUCAGAGAACAAGAUUAUUAAGUCUUCUCCUUUGUUACAUUUUGGUGUACGUUACUACUAACUGUUCCAGAACCUGCAAUUUUCGUUGGCACUUCUUCUUUAUUUCCCUGGCCUCCUGAUUUCUAUAAGCUACGGUGAAAUUAUUAAGAUGGAAAAGAGCAAUACCAAUGUGAAGAAGGCCCAGAAACAGAGAGCAUCGCAAAAAUAAAAAGAAGAAAUUUGAUGGUGCUGCGAGGGUUCGUCGCAAAGAUGACAUUGCAUUGCAGCGAAGUAUGGUGACCUCUACUUGCCUUGGAAAAAACCGUCGGUUGUCGUUGCUGAAAUUUCGGCUGACUUUCUUGAGUCUCUCACUCCCGAGAGGCUAGUCGUGACUGGCUGGUAUAGGAUGGGUGUGGCUGAGCCGAAGGAUUGGGAGAAGUUUGACCUUGGAAGGUUCAUCAGAUGUCGUUCUGGGUGCGGGAUCGAUGUCGCUCACUUUAGGAGGAAUACCGGAGGAGGAACCAGGGAAACCCGCUGAGGCUGCUCGUUUUUAAAACCUUUUUAUGCCCGCUUGUUGGGCUGCUAUGUCGUGCGGGUGCCCUUUAUUUGUUGUUGGGCCUCUUUCUUUUUGUUGAACUCGUUUGGUAGCUUGGCUUAUAUUAAGGAGCGGGAAGCGUUGAGUUUGCGUAUUAAAGCCCGAUUUAUUCUUUGCUUAGAUCGUCAUGAAUGCGCACAGGUGGUGGCUUAUUGGGUUCAUGGACCGCAGAGCGUUUGCAGGAGCUCGACUUAUAUUCAUACUUCGUGUGGAGUGCGUUAGAUUUGUUGUUUGUGUUGUUUUAUUUUUUUUUUGUCGCGCACCUGGCCAAGGUGCCGACAUUGGUAUUAGAAUUGUAAACUCUAUACUCUUUAUUUGGUUCUUAGUCGAUUUUAGCUGAUGUAAAGUUGAAUACAUGGUAAAAGACGAUGCUGGUUAAAUAUUGUAACUAAUAUGGUGCCGAGAA